rnacentral:misc_RNA from 1 species
AAGUCGUAACAAGGUAACCGUAGGUGAACCUGCGGUUGGAUCAUUACCAAUGCAAUUGGGGUUUUCGGUUGAGCUCUUCUGAGUUCUUGGGAUCCCUGAUAUUUGCUACCCAUUCUCUGUGCACUGUAAAUUGUCUCUGGCGGUUGUAGGAAGGACUGCUAGCAGCUCCUGUCCUCUAGUUCAUUUGCUGCUUGAAGCAAGUGAAUGAAGCCGCCAAAUGUCUUUUGACAUUACAAACUCCUUAGUAUUGCUGUGUAUUCUAUGUCUGACACAAAAAGCCCAUUGGCAUUGUAGAAAUGCUUUAUAACAACUUUUGGCAACGGAUCUCUUGGCUCUC